UACGUAGGGUGCGAGCGUUAAUCGGAAUUACUGGGCGUAAAGCGUGCGCAGGCGGUGAUGUAAGACAGAUGUGAGAUGCCCGGGCUCAACCUGGGACCUGCAUUUGUGACUGCAUCGCUAGAGUACGGUAGAGGGGGAUGGAAUUCCGCGUGUAGCAGUGAAAUGCGUAGAUAUGCGGAGGAACACCGAUGGCGAAGGCAAUCCCCUGGGCCUGCACUGACGCUCAUGCACGAAAGCGUGGGGAGCAAACAGGAUUAGAAACCCCAGUAGU
rnacentral:rRNA from 1 species